GGGGAAUCUUGCACAAUGGGCGAAAGCCUGAUGCAGCGACGCCGCGUGAGGGAUGAAGGCCCUAGGGUCGUAAACCUCUUUCAGUAGGGACGAAAAUGACGGUACCUACAGAAGAAGCCCCGGCCAACUACGUGCCAGCAGCCGCGGUAAGACGUAGGGGGCGAGCGUUGUCCGGAUUUAUUGGGCGUAAAGGGCUCGUAGGUGGUUGUGUAAGUCGGAUGUGAAAACUCGAGGCUCAACUUCGAGACGCCAUUCGAUACUGCACUGACUUGAGUCCGGUAGAGGAGUGUGGAAUUUCUAGUGUAGCGGUGGAAUGCGCAGAUAUUAGAAGGAACACCUAUUGCGAAGGCAGCACUCUGGGCCGGCACUGACACUGAGGAGCGAAAGCGUGGGUAGCAAAC
rnacentral:rRNA from 1 species